UACAGAGGGGGCAAGCGUUGUUCGGAAUUACUGGGCGUAAAGGGCGCGUAGGCGGCCUGUUAAGUCGAACGUGAAAUCCCCGGGCUCAACCCGGGAACUGCGUCCGAUACUGGCAGGCUUGAAUUCGGGAGAGGGAUGCGGAAUUCCAGGUGUAGCGGUGAAAUGCGUAGAUAUCUGGAGGAACACCGGUGGCGAAGGCGGCAUCCUGGACCAAUUCUGACGCUGAGGAGCGAAAGCCAGGGGAGCAAACGGG
rnacentral:rRNA from 1 species